GACGAACGCUGGCGGCGUGCUUAACACAUGCAAGUCGAACGGUAAGGCCCUUCGGGGUACACGAGUGGCGAACGGGUGAGUAACACGUGGGUGAUCUGCCCUGCACUUCGGGAUAAGCCUGGGAAACUGGGUCUAAUACCGGAUAGGACCACUGCCUGCAUGGGUGGUGGUGGAAAGCUUUUGCGGUGUGGGAUGGGCCCGCGGCCUAUCAGCUUGUUGGUGGGGUGAUGGCCUACCAAGGCGACGACGGGUAGCCGGCCUGAGAGGGUGACCGGCCACACUGGGACUGAGAUACGGCCCAGACUCCUACGGGAGGCAGCAGUGGGGAAUAUUGCACAAUGGGCGCAAGCCUGAUGCAGCGACGCUGCGUGAGGGAUGACGGCCUUCGGGUUGUAAACCUCUUUCAGUAGGGACGAAGCGAAAGUGACGGUACCUAAAGAAGAAGCACCGGCUAACUACGUGCCAGCCGCCGCAGUAA
rnacentral:rRNA from 1 species